AUGAACACGUGUGUAACGCUAUGGACAAGUGUGUACGAGUCAUUUGUGUGGACAUAUGCUUCCAGUUAUUUUUGGCAAACAGGAGCCUAGGAUAACUAGAUCACGUGGAUGGUGACCUCACUGUUUGUGAAGAACUACCAAACUGUUUUCCGAAAUGGUUGUUCAGUCUAUGAUCCUGCCAGCCAGGUAGGCAUUGUGGCGUAUGUUUGCAACCUUAGCCUCCAGGAGACCAAGGUAAGAGAACCAAGAGUUUGGGGUCAGCCUGGGCUACACAGGGAGACCCUGUCUUCCAACUUGUUCUUCAGAAAAGGUAUUUCGGUAAUUGUAAAUCCUUUGCCUUUCCAUAGGGUCAGUUUGCUGAUGGGUGUGCAUGAGUGUGCAUGUGUGUGCAUGUGUGUGCAUGUGUGUGCAUGUGUGUGCAUGUGUAUGCAUAUGAUUGUGCAGAUGCAGGCACACAGAGCUCAGGGUGGGACAUUGAUUUCGGGUGUCUUCUACCCUUUCUAUAUUCUGUCUUGAACACAGGUUCUCGGUGAAUCAGAGACUUCGAAUCUCAGUUAUGUUGAUGGCAGCAAAGGCACAGGAUCUACACGUCUCUGUCCCAUAAUGCCAGAGCUGCAGGCACCUGCAGCCAUGCCUGGCUUUUUACAUUAGUGCUGGGAUUCAAACUUGGGUCCUCAUAGAACAUGGACUCUGACCUACUGACCCAUCAUCCAGUCUGUUAAUGCUCAUUAAAAUCCUGCUGGGAUUUUUGACUGGGAUUGUACUGGGUUGACAGAUCCACUGGAGAGAAUGUACAGCCUAAUGCUGCUAAGUGUUCUAGCACACUCAGAACACACCUCUCAGCUGGGCUUCUUCCUGGUCCAUGUGAAGGUCUUUCACAUAUUCUGAUACAGUUUUUAUUAUCAUUAUCAUCAUCAUCAUCAUUAUUAUUAUUACUUAUACAGUUAUUAUUUCUAUUAUCACUAUUAUUGUUAUUUUUUGCUGCUAUUUUCAGUGAGGUCUAUUUAAUUGUCUACUCUUUGCUAUUAGGAAGAAACAAAGUUGGGUUUUGUACAUUUCCUUUUAUGACUUAUACUCUGGCUAGAAGUAAAUGAUUGGGUAGAGUGAUCAGAUUUUCUACCUAGAUGACGAAGCUGAAUGAAGAUAACGAUAGACUUCCUCUCACCCUGUGCCCUCCGUUCCUUGUGCUUCUGAUGCACUAACUGGGACCUUGGGAAGAUGGGCCAGAGCAGCGGGGGUAACAUCCUUGCAGCUUGUCUGAUGUUGGAGGAUUUGAUUGUUACAAAAAUGUGUUAUUACUGAACCUGGUAAAAAAGUUUGUCAUGAUGUAUAAACCGAGAUGGUUAUUAACUACGAGUGUUUUACCGGCUUGUGUGUCUGUGUACAACAUGAGGCCAGAAGAGUGCGUGUGAUCCCCUGAAACUGGAGCUAGUUGGUUGUCAGUUGACACGAGAGUGCUGGGAACUGAACUUGGGUCCUCUGGAAGAGGAGCAAGCACCCUUAAUCACUGAGCCUUCCCCGUAGCCUUAACUUCUAUUUUGUCUGUAAUAAGCCGAGGUAUUUGUUGGCAGUUAACCUCGUGACCCAGUAGAUGGCCCCAUACACAUUCACACAGGGUCAGCACUGAUUGGACUCCGGAAGCUAUUUGUCAUCAGGGAGGUGGGUUGGUAGGGCCUGGAAGAGUUCAAAGGAAAUAAUAGAGGAUGUGUACAUGCGUGAAAUUGUCAAAGAAUAAAUAAAAAUAACAAUAGUGGAUGGGAGAGAGGGCUCAGCACUUAAGAGCACUGGCUGCUCUUCCAAAGGAACAAUCGUCUGUGAUCCGGUUCCAAGGGAUCCGGUGCCCUCUUCUGUCCUCCAAGAGUACCAGGCAUGCAUGUGGUCCACAGACACACAUGCAGGCAAAAUGUUCAUACACAUAAAAUAAACGAUAGAACAAAAAAACAUUAAAAAUAAGUGUACCGAUAUAGUGCGUUAUGUGUUGACUUUCAAAUGUUAAACUAGCGUUGUGUGCAUCUCUGCACUAAAUCCAACAUGGCCAGGGUGUGUCACAUGUUUUAUAUACUUGUUUUGGUUUGUUAAAUUUGGUUUUCAACUUUUGCAUAUUUGUAGCUGAGGAAUAUCAGCCAUCUUAGAGGCUUACAGGACGAUGGGGAAGUACUCCCUCUUCUCUGAGUUUUACAAGAACCUAUCCACCAAGAUCAUCUUUCUCCCCAUCUCAGAGGCCACACCCAGGUCCUUGCACUUGAACUGAUAUUAAUUACUCCUCUCUACAGUUCAGCAGUGAAGCCAUGUGGGGCGGGGUCACCUUGAGGGAAACCAUUUAACUGUGAACUCCAUUGCUUUGAUAGAUGCAGAGCUCCCUAUACUUUAUAUGAAUCCAAGCUUUCAUUCUCUGAAAUGCAUGCCCGCUACACCAAGGACCAGGUCUUACAGCAAUUAAACAUUGGCUUUGAUGGAAACCACCGGACUGCUUUCCAAUGUGGCUUGUAUUUUAUCCUCCAGCCAACAAUGUGUUAGUGACCCUGUUUCUCCCCAACCUGCCAGCAUGUAGUUUUCUCCGCCAUUCUGACAGACAUGGAGUGACAUGUGCUGUAGCUUAGGUAGUAUUCCUCUAAGGCUGGUAGCAUCUGGCCUUCUGGGCUGUGCUGGUGGCAUCUGGCCUCUUGGCCUGUGCUGGUGGGAUCCAGCCUCCUGGGCUGUGCUGGUGGCAUCUGGCCUUCUAGCCUGUGCUGGUGGGAUCUGGCCUCCUGGCCUGUGCUGGUGGGAUCUGGCCUCCUGGCCUGUGUUGGUGGGAUCUGGCCUCCUGGCCUGUGCUGGUGGGAUCUGGCCUCCUGGCCUGUGCUGGUGGGAUCUGGCCUCCUGGCCUGUGCUGGUGGCAUCUGGCCUCCUGGCCUGGCUUCUUUCCCACUUCUGUUGGGCCUCCUCAGUGGAAUGUCUGAUGUGUUUCCCAGGUUUUCUAGAUGGACACUUUUUGUUUGUUUUUAUAGCCCUGGGGUUUGAACCCUGGGUACUCUACAUGCUAGGCCACUACUCUACCACCAACUUAUAUAUCCC
rnacentral:lncRNA from 1 species